rnacentral:misc_RNA from 1 species
GUGGGCACAAGAAUCAUUCAUAGAAUUACACAUCAUCAUUAGAGUCGAUGUAGCACAUAUCAUAUGUAUGCAGUAUAUAAUAUAUAUAUAAUUUGAAACACACACAGCUGCAAAUCACAUCACACACUGAUCAUCAUCAUCAUUGAUCAUUAAGUAAAAUUAAUUAAAUUUUUUACUUCACAAAAUGAUGGGCAUAUUUUAUUUUAAUUUUUUUGCAAUCUCAAUGAUUUCCUGAAUAGUAAUCAAAACAAACAUUUGUCCCCAUCAUUUUGGUCACCAAAACAGCUGCAAAUCAUCACCCAAUAUGAAGCAUCUUCUUGUCUUGAUGAGAGUAAGUAACAGCUCCACCUUCCAUCAUAUUAGGAGAGAAGAAAUUACGAGAAGCCAAUGCCUGAAUUGCAUUCAGUUCUUGUCCAGAUACCAUGUUUGCUUGUUGGAGCCUCUCAACUUCAGCUAUCUUGGUUCUAAUACACACAUUUUCAUUCUCCAGCUCAAUCUCCCUUUUUUGAAGAUACUCAAUUUCUGCUAGCAACAUUUCAUGCUUCUUUGAUCUGAUUCUAGUGAUGCCCCUUUCAAGCCUAUUUUCAAGCUGCUUUAGUUCUUUGACUGUAAGAGCACUCAAGGAGUCCCCCAUCAAGUGCCUAACAAGAUUGCUGUUGGAAUUCUGAAGCAUUUGUAUUUGUUGACGCAGCUUAGCCGAUUCUUGCUGAUAAUAUUGAGUAUUUAGUUCAGUGACAGAGCUGGUAGCUGAGCUAUCAGAACAAGCCUUCUUGUACCUCUCAAUAGUAGUUUUGAUACUGUUAUUGGAGUAUUCAUAGAGACGGCCACGGCUGGAGAAGACAAUGAGGGCAACUUCAGCAUCACAAAGA